rnacentral:miRNA from 1 species
UUGAUGACAUUAUCAGCCUUGUUACAAGACUGUGCCAACAAGUUUGUUACAGCCAUGAAAUAACAAGGAUGUUACAAGGUUGUCAACACAAGGUUGUAACAAUCUUGUUAUAUCAAGCAUGUAACGGACUUGUCAGAACAACCUUGCAACAAGUCUGAUAAUUUCGACAA